CCGAGUCCCGGGAAGUGUGGGGUGCUCCUGGAAAUGACGAAUUGUUUGACGAGAGAAAGAGAGAGAGAGAGAGGGGGGAAAAAGUGGUUCUCACAGAAGUCCAGACAAAAGAAGAAACAAACUUGGACCAGCUUUAGCUUCACUUCUGUUUUGAGCAUAGUCAGAUGACUGAAAACUCAGAAGGUGCAUCAUCAUAGCAUUCACCUACACCUCAAGGACAUUCACCUUACUGGAUAUAGCUACCAGAUGGUUCAGGAUCCCAUACUGGCACAGCAUGCAGAUCAUACUUUCCGGAACCUCCUGGUACAUUAUGAACUACGUCUGAACGUACAUGACCUGCUGAGAACUAUUUUUAUACAGUGAUGUUAUUGUAGUUGUGUAUCCUUUCUUCCACGCUUAUAGCCCACCUCCCCACACUCACACACAUAUAUAUCACACGACUGCAAAUGUAGAAAGGAAAGUUGUUUUAUGGUAAUUUUUACAACUAAAUCUGAACAUAAAUUUGUUGUUCUUAAUUGGAGAAAAUACUAAUAGAUAUAUUAUUUUCCCAUCUGGAUUUUGGAGCAGAGCUGGUUUCCUGAAGGAAUUUUGCUGGCAGCCUCUUUCACCAUAAAGGCAAGUUUUAAUGAACAACAGCUGCUGUUGUGGUUUCCCCAAGUGAAACAAUUGAUGUAUUUUGUUCUGGACGCACAAAGUGGAACAAAAAUUAGCCUGAACCCCACAUACAUUGUAACUAUGUGUCCAGGGAAUUGAAAUAAAUUAAGCAUGUAAAAAUUGGAUUUAAAAAAAUUGUAACCCUGGGAUUAAUUCCCAAACCUGUUGCUUAUGAACUGAAAGUCAGUCAAGAAAAUAGGAAGAUGAGCCACACAUUUAGCAGUUCCCCAGUUCUUGUAAUCAAUAUCAUCCACAUCUGUCAUCUACAAUGAUUGUAGCAUUUCAAGUAAUAUUUGUCUUAACUUACAAAAAUGCAGUUUCUUUUAAGAUUGUAGUUCGAAGAAAAAAUUUCAAAUGAAAGAAUUACAACCCGAACUCCUGAAAAAAAAUCAGUAUCUUUCUGUGAACA